GAUGAAGAACGUAGCGAAAUGCGAUAAGUAAUGUGAAUUGCAGAAUUCAGUGAAUCAUCAAAUCUUUGAACGCACAUUGCGCCCAUUAGUAUUCUAGUGGGCAUGCCUGUUCGAGCGUCAUUAAGUCCACUUAAGCCCUGCUUAGUGUUGGGAGACUGCUCCAGCGGUGCUACCCUGUAGCUACCCUGCAGCUCCUCAAAGACAGCGGCGGAGUUGUGGUAUCCUCUGAGCUUAGUAACUUGUUCUAGCUUUCGAGUACACCACUUCCCCUGCCGUAAAACCCUUAAUUUUUAAUGGUUGACCUCGGAUCAGGUAGGAAUACCCGCUGAACUUAAGCAUAUCAAUAAGCGGAGGA
rnacentral:misc_RNA from 1 species